rnacentral:rRNA from 1 species
UUGAGCGAUUUACUUCGGUAAAGAGCGGCGGACGGGUGAGUAACGCGUGGGUAACCUACCCUGUACACACGGAUAACAUACCGAAAGGUAUGCUAAUACGGGAUAAUAUAUUUGAGAGGCAUCUCUUAAAUAUCAAAGGUGAGCCAGUACAGGAUGGACCCGCGUCUGAUUAGCUAGUUGGUAAGGUAACGGCUUACCAAGGCGACGAUCAGUAGCCGACCUG